UUUUGGUGUAGGAACGAAGUAGACGUAGUCAUCGCGACGUCACUUGUUGGCUUGAAGGCCUCGAGUUAAAAAAUAAAUAAAUAAAUAAAUAAAUAAUUAACAAAUUUUAGCCACGAGUUCCUUUAACUCGUCGCCAUCUUGACUCGAUUGAACCAGCAGCACCAGACGUGACGAGACUGUGGAGCUAGCUAGCUUCUGUGAUUCUUCAUAAUCAGCGGUUGAUGAAGAACGAAGAUGUCGAACGAAGGCGCGUUGUGCAACCAGGAAUCGAUCCCCACCAUCUGUAUCAUCUGCUGUCAUCUGGACUAAAGGAAAGGUGAACUUGCCAAUUCCGAGAAAUCCUGCAAAGCCCCAGAUAACCUUACUGCAACUGGGGCUUCGUCCUAUAGGAAAAGGUGCAUUAGUGGUGACAGGAGGACCGGUGGGGACUGGUGCUGAUGGGAGAUUUAGACGGCUGGAGGUGGCCUUGUGUAUUAUGUGGCUGGCCAUUGCUGUGACUGUCUCCCUCUUAUCUCUUCCACUGUGGGGUCCAAUCCCCACUGUCCCUCUUAUCUGUGGGUUAGACUUUUCUUCCCCUUUUCCUUCCCAGAAUCGUCCUAGUUUAGUCAACUGUGGUAUUGGUCAUGUGAAAGGUGACUCUGUUGCUUUUCCCCCCUCAUUUCAACCAACUGCAAAGUUCAUGUAAAGAAGUCAUCUUUUUAGUAUCAUCUUCAAAUCUUGUGAGGGAUUUGAUUUCAAGACAUGCUACAUUUAUAAUGUGAUGGGCUUCUGCUGACCUUAUCAACCUUGAGGAUGGUUAUUUUUUUGAUUUUCUGCAAAAGCAAGCCAAGUCAAUGAAAGGCCACUGUCUAGUUUUUCAGAGCAGGAGAAAGACAAAACAUGUAAAUAUAAUGGAAAUGGAAUGAUCUGUGCCUGCACACACUGAUUGUGUUUUUAUUGCUGAAGUAUAACCAGAGGGUUGUGGUACAUUUUCACCUGAGAGCUGCACAUUUCCAGCCCUCCUAAAUAAAACAUUGUGUCGCCAGGCGCCGGUAAGUGUCCCUCAAAGAGCAGAGGGAGGAAGGGCGAGGGUAAAAAGCGUCCAGGUUAAGUUGUUUGAAAGGCUCCGGGUAUUAAGAGGCAUUUUACACUUAAGAAGUUGGUUUCGCUGGGUUUUCUGUUUCCCCUCUUAUUGAUUGAUGCUCAACUAUCAAUGCAUAAUAGAAAAGCACUCAGAGCAAAUGCAGGGUUAUGGCCUUGGGAGGGAGUCGGCAGACGAGACUGCAGCACCCCCCCACUCCAAUGCCAUUAUUGGCCCAUAAAGGAUCCCUCGGGAAGGCCACGGUGUUCAGAUCAGCACACACCAAAUACCCAAUUAAAAAAGGCUUUAAAUUCCCUCCUCUUUCCUGGGCAAAAAUCAAUCCGAAUUCAAUCUAUUCGGCUAGGAUUCCGACAGAGCAGGUAAUUGCCCAUAAUCGGUCAGCUAGGUGACAACAGCUUAAAGGGGAGACACUAAUACAAUCAGGUAUUUGCUUUCAACGCCCGGCCUGGGCCCAGGCCUCGCCUGUCGAAAAACAGGUAGAGUGCAGUUUAUGUAGCCAUCAGACAAAGGCGUAUAUAAAGUUACACAAGUCUUCUAUUGUGGGGCGCACGACAGUUGAUAAAGAGAUUCUGUGAAGUACUGGAGGAAUGAUACUUCCUAAAUGACCCAUCAUAAAGCUGCAAUAAAUGCAUUCAGCGAUCAUCUUCGAAAAUAGCUUGUCAUGGAACUGGAAAUGAAAUAGCAAUCUUCUUCAAUAAAUGGUUGACAUUGUCAACAAAUACUAUUAGCAUAAUUUGCAUACAAUCAUGUCAGGAUUAUCUCAAUGAAAUUCUACACUAGUGCUAAAGACAUGACAUACUUAAUGGUAGCAUUGGAUAAGUAGGAUACCUAAUGGGGGUAUAUUAGUGUAUAACCCCAUAACUCCACACCACCUAGCUGGAUGUUUUUCCAUUGCCUAAUGCAUAUGCUCUCGUGCUGCCUUAAUGUUUUUUGUUCUCAAGCAGCUCUCUGGAAAAGGAUUUGUCAUAUUUCAAACUUCUGACACCGUCUGUAUGAAAAUUAAAACAGACCUGGUCACAACACAGCUGCUGUGGCAAGUUGACAUUUUCCUGACAUUUUGGAUAUUGAAACUUUGAAAAAAUCCACGGUAUAAUAACAUAACAAAAAAGAUUAAAAAAGCAGUAC